CUGCAGAGACCCAGAAAUUUGGGAAUUGAUAGCCUGGGUGGCAAGUUUCACGUGAGCUGUUACAGGGAGCUGGAUUUAAGUAGUCUCCAAAGCAGCCUUCAGAGCUUCGUUCUCAUCCAGCUGGAUCACAAGCCUAUGAGGAAACAAAAGGCAACUUUCAUGUGAGCUGUGGAGCUUCAAAGCAAAUUAGAACAGUGCUCCAGCUCCAGGGAAGAAAACACUGAACCACAUGCUCUCUGCUGGUCCAGGUAAUAGCACUGCUAAGAGGACAACAAUGAAUCCGAAUUAUUGAGUUAUUGAAAAAAGGUGGC